ACUUUCUACAAUAUAUUCUUUCAGACAAGAAAGUCAAAUAUAAAAAUGAACACAAAAGUAGCCAUUUGUCUGAUCCUUCCCUGCAUCAUUGCAUUGGUUUCCUGUGCUUAUUAUCCUGGAUACUCUGGAUACCAACAACCAAGACAGGUGGCUCCCUAUGCAAACUAUGCUGCCAAUAGUUACCAGUCUCUGAAACAGGCUAGACUCUUUAACUACCUUCUCGGAGGAUUAUUCUUCUUAAACCUAUUCAACGUUACUGGAAACAGAAUUGCUGGUUAGAGAACAUUUUUAUGGGCAUACGAGGUUGACAUGCAGAACCUUGUUCAUUCAUAGACAAAAAAAACGUGUGUCAUUAUGUUGGACAUCUUACAUCAGAUUAGACGGAUUUAUGCAACCAUCAUAGCAUAAUCUCAAUUGAAUCAGAAACAGAACACUUCAGUAUUGGUGAACAUCUAUCAUUUCAAAGAUUUUUUAUCCAUAUUAAAAAUUGUCUGUACUUUA